CAGUCGCCGCGGGAAUACAGAGGGUGCGAGCGUUAAUCGGAUUUACUGGGCGUAAAGCGUGCGUAGGCGGCUUCUUAAGUCGGAUGUGAAAUCCCUGAGCUUAACUUAGGAAUUGCAUUCGAUACUGGGAAGCUAGAGUAUGGGAGAGGAUGGUAGAAUUCCAGGUGUAGCGGUGAAAUGUGUAGAGAUCUGGAGGAAUACCGAUGGCGAAGGCAGCCAUCUGGCCUAAUACUGACGCUGAGGUACGAAAGCAUGGGGAGCAAACAGGAUUAGAUACCCCAGUAGUCCCUGUCUCUUAUAA
rnacentral:rRNA from 1 species